UGCCCUCAUAAAAGAGAUCCUGGAGAGAUCCCUCUCUCGCCCUCUUUCCACCAAGUGAGGAUAUAAGAAGUCAGCCAUCUGGAAACUAGGGAGAGAACCCUCAUGGAACCUGACCAUGCCUGUACCUUAGACUGACCUUAGACUUCCAGCCCCCAGAAUUGAGUUUUUCAAAGCAUUCGUUGGCCUAUCUAGCAGGGACUGAGUGAGAUGGUACAUUGUAUAUUUAUCAAAAGAUGCUUCCAGUUUCACCUUGGCCUGGGCAACUGCAGACAGUCUUCUUGGAUGAUGCUUGUGACUCUUCCCGCAACACCUGAGUGGCCCCUCAUGGUUGGGUACAUGGGUCCCAAAGCUGAGCCUGAAGUCGAUGCUGGGAACUGAGUCACCAAGGGCAUGGAUGCUUCCAUCAAGGCAGACAAGAUUUAAAAACCUAGUUUCAGUGGCACUAAUGAGACCAAUAGCAAACCCAA
rnacentral:lncRNA from 1 species